rnacentral:rRNA from 1 species
UCGAGAAUCUUCGGCAAUGAGCGCAAGCUUGACCGAGCGACGCCGCGUGCGGGAUGAAGGCCUUCGGGUUGUAAACCGCUUUGGUCCGAAAGAAAGGGUAAAACUUGAUCGAUCGGAGAAACAAGGACGGGCUAAGUUCGUGCCAGCAGCCGCGGUAAGACGAACCGUCCAAACGUUAUUCGGAAUCACUGGGCUUAAAGGGCGCGUAGGCGGCCGAGCGGGUCGCGGGUGAAAUCCUCCAGCUUAACUGGAGAACUGCCCUCGAUACCACUGCGGCUCGAGGAAGGAAGGGGCAAUCGGAACUGUCGGUGGAGCGGUGAAAUGCGUUGAUAUCGACAGGAACGCCGGUGGCGAAAGCGGAUUGCUGGUCCUUUUCUGACGCUGAGGCGCGAAAGCCAGGGGAGCAAACGGGAUUAGAUACCCCAGUAGUCCCUGAGCGGGCUGGCAAGGCGCAU